rnacentral:rRNA from 1 species
CCUACGGGGGGCAGCAGUGGGGAAUAUUUCACAAUGGGGGAAACCCUGAUGCAGCGACGCCGCGUGAAGGAAGAAGUAUUUCGGUAUGUAAACUUCUAUCAGCAGGGAAGAAAAUGACGGUACCUGACUAAGAAGCCCCGGCUAACUACGUGCCAGCAGCCGCGGUAAUACGUAGGGGGCAAGCAUUAUCCGGAUUUACUGGGUGUAAAGGGAGCGUAGGCGGAGCAGCAAGACAGAUGUGAAAGCCCGGGGCUCAACCCCGUGACUGUUUUUGAAACUGUUGAACUAGAUGGCAGGAGAGGUAAGUGGAAUUCCUAGUGUAGCGGUGAAAUGCGUAGAUAUUAGGAGGAACACCAGUGGCGAAGGCGGGUUACUGGACUGUAAAUGACGCUGAGGCUCGAAAGCGUGGGGAGCAAACAGGAUUAGAUACCCGUGUAGUC